rnacentral:sRNA from 1 species
CAUCAUGUACAAUAGAUGUCUCUCUCUGAGAUGUGCAUAGAAUAUAACUCAAUGUCACCUUCCUUGAGGUUUCAUCUAUUCCAAUCUUCUUGCAUAUCUUUUUUACUAACAUAGAGUAUGUUACCUUUGACGUCCUCAACAAUACACCGCUUAAAGAAUUGUUAGAAAUCCACUCAUGCUCUUUUGAAUAAUACCCAUUGUCAAAUUGUAUGAAUGUGUGCUUGUUCUUCAUCGUCUCAUGUAAUUACAAA